rnacentral:rRNA from 1 species
AUUGAACGCUGGCGGCAGGCCUAACACAUGCAAGUCGAGCGAGCGGCGGACGGGUGAGUAAUGUCUGGGAAACUGCCUGAUGGAGGGGGAUAACUACUGGAAACGGUAGCUAAUACCGCAUACCAUCAGAUGUUCCCAGAUGGGAUUAGCUAGUAGGUGGGGUACCGGCGAACCUCGGCGACGAUCCCUAGCUGGUCUGAGAGGAUGACCAGCCACACUGGAACGGAGAGACGGUCCAGAGUCCUACGGGAGGAAGCAGUGGGGAAUAUUGGACAAUGGGCGCAAGCCUGAUGCAGCCAUGCCGCGUGUGUGAAGAAGGCCUUCGGGUUGUAAAGCACUUUCAGCGGGGAGGUGUUACCCGCAGAAGAAGCACCGGCUAAGAACGGGCCAGCAGCCGCGGUAAUAC